rnacentral:misc_RNA from 1 species
GAUGAGAACGCAGCGAAAUGCGAUAAGUAAUGUGAAUUGCAGAAUUCAGUGAAUCAUCGAAUCUUUGAACGCACAUUGCGCCCCCUGGUAUUCCGGGGGGCAUGCCUGUUCGAGCGUCAUUUCACCACUCAAGCCUCGCUUGGUAUUGGGCAUCGCGGUCCGCCGCGCGCCUCAAAUCGACCGGCUGGGUCUUCUGUCCCCUAAGCGUUGUGGAAACUAUUCGCUAAAGGGUGUUCGGGAGGCUACGCCGUAAAACAACCCCAUUUCUAAGGUUGACCUCGGAUCAGGUAGGGAUACCCGCUGAACUUAAGCAUAUCAAUAAGCGGAGGA